AGAGCUGGUAACUCUACCUUUCACUGAGAUUAACAAAAUCUACAAAGUCUCUCUUCAAAACAAAUGACAAAUCACCACAGAGCUGCAGACCAGCAAAUGGAGUGAACUGAGGGCAAUUUGACCAACAUCAUCUGUGUCGGUUCCCCAGAAGUCGAUGAAACAUGUUAUCAGGUCUCCAAGAGGCUUUGUGGCAACAAGUGCAAGAAAAAUUACUCAUUUCUCUUCGGCUGAACUCCAUUGUAUGACAGGGAAGUGACCACUUGCA